rnacentral:rRNA from 1 species
GACGAACGCUGGCGGCGUGCUUAACACAUUCAAGUCGAACGGAAAGGCCCUGCUUUUGUGGGUUGCUCGAGUGGCGAACGGGUGUGUAACACGUGAGUAACCUGCCCUUGACUUUGGGAUAACUUCAGGAAACUGGGGCUAAUACCGGAUAGGAGCUCCUGCUGCAUGGUGGGGGUUGGAAAGUUUCGGCGGUUGGGGAUGGACUCGCGGCUUAUCAGCUUGUUGGUGGGGUAGUGGCUUACCAAGGCUUUGACGGGUAGCCGGCCUGAGAGGGUGACCGGCAACAUUGGGAAUGAGAUACGGCGCAGACUGCUACGGGAGGCAGCAGUGGGGAAUAUUGUACAAUGGGCGGAAGAAUGAUGCAGCAAAGCCGCGUGCGGGAAGACGGCCUUAGGGUUGUAAACCGCGUUCGCAUGUGACGAAGCGUGAGUGAAGGUAAAGGGUAAAGAAGCACCGGCUAACUACGUG